AAAAACUUCUAUUCGCUACUGUCUUGCGUUGCUUGUUCUCAGAGCUGAAUAUCAUGUCUAUCGUGUCGUCAUAUCUGCGUCAAGACACAAACGCGCUUCCGUGAAGUGUUUCUUAUGAUGAGUAACGUUUUGUUUAUGCAAGUAUCGUGAAAGUACGCAGCCCCGCACGUCACUUGUAGGAGAAAAACAUACAAUCCGUCCCGUCAGUUUGUAAACCGUACUCACGAAUUCUUAAACCGUUCCCUCGGUUUAACAAAAAGUGUCGGUUUAUAAACUGACGGGACGGAUUGUAUGUUUUUCUCCUACAAGUGACGUGCGGGGCUGCGUAUGAAUGUGAGUUAAAGAAGCCUCAGAAGACCUUCAAGGAUCCAGUUGACCUCUGAAUCAGCUGUUAAGAAAAUGGGACAGUUAUAUUGCUUCAAUUGGUCUCCUACUUCAUUUGAUUCCACCUUCAUUACAAGGCUGCAAGGGAUCUGGAAAAAUGUCAUCCUGUCAAGCUGAAAAACAUCUUCAAAAAGGCACUAACAAGAACAGCUUGAUUGCAGAGAAGAGACCACACAGCCAUACACGCUCACUGAUGGGACGAUGAGGAACAUCAUUCAUGGAUGCUACACAACUCAAAUCUACACGUCAUAUUUGUUCAUGUCUAGGUAAAUUUGAUGAUUUUGUGUUUUAUUAAUUACUUUGUUUCUGUGCAACACUUAAUGAAUGUGACUGACUAAUUAACCUCUACACAUCUGGUAUAUGCUUUAAAGUUGCCACUUUGCCCAUUUGUUCAAUAAAUGUUGAAAUGUAUACAUCUGUCUGAAGACUUUCCUGAUUUUAUGUCUAUCCUUUUACAUUAACUUUAUUUUUAUCAUAAUUAACAUUAUUUUUUUUGUUUGCACUGAAAAGAGGACAUUAUUAAUUAUGCUUAAAACAACAGCAGAGGUGUUAAAUACCCCAUAGUGUAAAAUUUGAACAGCAAUAGCAUGUGUAACACUUUACACUUGGAGUGUAAUUUUUCUAGACAUUGUUUAAAAUGAAAUGUAAAAUGUGAAAAUGAAAAGGAUUUAAUUAAAUUCUGAUUUUAAUUCAGUGUGUGUUAUAUAUAUAUAUAUAUAUAUAUAUAUAUACCUUUAGAAAUAACUGCAAAUUACAAGCUAAAUACAAAACUUAGUUCUAGAAUUUGCAUUCAGAGAUAGUUUGAC
ensembl:lncRNA